UCAGUCUUCUGAGUUUCUGAUGGAGAUCUCUGCCAUAGUGAUUUGGAACAAAUCUAGCCUUCAUAAGAGUCUUCAUCUCAUACAAGGAAGUAACUGGUGCCAUUCCAAUGUGUCUUCUCUUGUGCAUAAUCUGUUCCCACUAGUUGUCUACAUAUCCACUAAACUCAGUUGCAGCAAGCUUCACUUUCUUCUCUUCAGUGUAAUUUUGGCACUCAAAAACCAGUUCCAUUUUUCUUUCCCACUCCAUGUAAGCAUCAGGAUCAUUUUUACCAAGGAAAGGUGGAAUUCUCAGCUUGACAUUACCAAGGUUGUUAUCAGCU
rnacentral:lncRNA from 1 species